rnacentral:tRNA from 2 species
GGGGAUGUAGCUCAGUGGGAGAGCGUUCGGUUCGCAUCCGAGAGGUCGAGGGUUCAACCCCCUUCAUCUCCACCA